rnacentral:rRNA from 1 species
AUACGUAGGGAGCGAGCGUUGUCCGGAAUGACUGGGUGUAAAGGGAGCGUAGGCGGGAUGGCAAGUCAGAUGUGAAAACUGAGGGCUCAACCUUCAGACUGCAUUUGAAACUGCUGUUCUUGAGUGAGGUAGAGGUAAGCGGAAUUCCUGGUGUAGCGGUGAAAUGCGUAGAGAUCAGGAGGAACAUCGGUGGCGAAGGCGGCUUACUGGGCCUUUACUGACGCUGAGGCUCGAAAGCGUGGGGAGC